GAUGAAGAACGUAGCGAAAUGCGAUAAGUAAUGUGAAUUGCAGAAUUCAGUGAAUCAUCGAAUCUUUGAACGCACAUUGCGCCCGCUGGAAUUCCAGCGGGCAUGCCUGUUCGAGCGUCAUUUCACCCCUCAAGCCUUGCUUGGUGUUGGAGCACUACCGUUUGUAUAAAGCGGUAGGCUCUGAAAUUCAGUGGCGGGCUCGCCAAGACUCUGAGCGUAGUAGUUUAUCACCUCGCUUUGGAAGGAUUAGCGGUGCUCUUGCCGUAAAACCCCCCAACUUCUGAAUUUUGACCUCGGAUCAGGUAGGAAUACCCGCUGAACUUAAGCAUAUCAAUAAGCGGAGGA
rnacentral:misc_RNA from 1 species